AGUGCAGGCGGUUUUUUAAGUCUGAUAUGAAAGCCUUCGGCUUAACCGAAGAAAUGCAUUGGAAACUGGGAAACUUGAGUGCAGAGGAGGAGAGUGGAACUCCAUGUGUAGCGGUGAAAUGCGUAGAUAUAUGGAAGAACACCAGUGGCGAAGGCGGCUCUCUGGUCUGUAACUGACGCUGAGGCUCGAAAGCGUGGUAGCAAACA
rnacentral:rRNA from 1 species